GAAGUAAAUGUAUAGGAAUCUACCUAGUAGUACGGAAUAAUUGUUGGAAACGACAACUAAUACCGUAUACGCCCUACGGGGGAAAAAUUUAUUGCUAUUAGAUGAGCCUAUAUUAGAUUAGCUAGUUGGUGGGGUAAUAGCCUACCAAGGUAAUGAUCUAUAGCUGAUCUGAGAGGAUGAUCAGCCACACUGGAACUGAGAUACGGUCCAGACUCCUACGGGAGGCAGCAGUGGGGAAUAUUGGACAAUGGGCGAAAGCCUGAUCCAGCCAUGCCGCAUGAGUGAAGAAGGCCUUUGGGUUGUAAAGCUCUUUUAGUGAGGAAGAUAAUGACGGUACUCACAGAAGAAGUCCUGGCUAACUCCGUGCCAGCAGCCGCGGUAAUACGGAGAGGGCUAGCGUUAUUCGGAAUUAUUGGGCGUAAAGGGCGCGUAGGCUGGUUAAUAAGUUAAAAGUGAAAUCCCGAGGCUUAACCUUGGAAUUGCUUUUAAAACUAUUAAUCUAGAGAUUGAAAGAGGAUAGGGGAAUUCCUGAUGUAGAGGUAAAAUUCGUAAAUAUUAGGAGGAACACCAGUGGCGAAGGCGUCUAUCUGGUUCAAAUCUGACGCUGAAGCGCGAAGGCGUGGGGAGCAAACAGGAUUAGAUACCCUGGUAGUCCACGCUGUAAACGAUGAAUGUUAAAUAUGGGGAGUUUACUUUCUGUAUUACAGCUAACGCGUUAAACAUUCCGCCUGGGGACUACGGUCGCAAGAUUAAAACUCAAAGGAAUUGACGGGGACCCGCACAAGCGGUGGAGCAUGUGGUUUAAUUCGAUGCAACG
rnacentral:rRNA from 1 species